UACGUAGGGUGCAAGCGUUAUCCGGAAUCACUGGGCGUAAAGGGUGCGUAGGCGGUUAGACAAGUCAGAAGUGAAAGGCAGUGGCUCAACCACUGUAAGCUUUUGAAACUGUUUAACUUGAAUGCAGGAGAGACAAGUGGAAUUCCUAGUGUAGCGGUGAAAUGCGUAGAUAUUAGGAGGAACACCAGUGGCGAAGGCGACUUGCUGGACUGUAAUUGACGCUGAGGCACGAAAGCGUGGGGAGCAAACAGG
rnacentral:rRNA from 1 species